AUUCAUGUGUCAAUGUUUCCUUCCCUAAACAAUGAUUACUUGGAUACUCUUCAUGCAUUUUGUAUAAUUGUUACUGUCAAUACAUUCCAUCAUCUCUCAGGAUACAUAAUGAUUGUACUUCUGGUAACAUUCCCUCUGUGCCCAUCCAGAAUGAGUAGCAAGAAGAUUUAAUUCCAGCAACUUAAAUAAAGUGACAGCUGUGCAUCACUGAGAGUUGAUGCAGCCCAUCAGUCUAUCAGAAUAUGUCAUUUGACAACCAGUGUUUCCCGUUGGGUCCUCCGAAAUUACUUCUGCUCUCUGUUAAUCCAAACCAAUUCAACUGCUUACAUGAAGGAUAAGAAAAUUCCUCAAUUACCAAGAAAUUUGACAUAGCAAGGGCAUGAAAACUGAGAUAGUGAAGACUUUUUCUCUCUCAAUCACAAGCUGAACAACUGCUGUAUGACGGUUCCUCUGACAAACUGCCUCUGUCUAGGAUCGUGUUUCUGUUACCUCCUCUCAAGGCUCUCAGUGACACCACUGUGUAAUAACCACUGCAAAUAGAUGUCAACAUUCCUCCAUAUCUUCUAAAUUGUUAGAACAAAACCUUGUGUCUGAAACUCCGACUGAUUAUAACCAAAGCUGAGGCAUUUAGAUAUUUUUUUCUCUUAAAGAGUGACUCCAAUUUUGAGCAUUCUUUUUUAUGAGGGAAGAUGUUAAGAGAAUAUGAACAGAAAGGGCCAGGAAAAAUUAAUAUUAUUUAAAGCUAUGUGACUGACUGAGCAAACAU